rnacentral:rRNA from 1 species
ACUACGGGUGGCAGCAGUGAGUAAUAUUGGUCAAUGGGAGAGAUCCUGAACCAGCCAAGCCGCGUGAGGGAAGACGGCCCUAUGGGUUGUAAACCUCUUUUGUCGGAGAACAAAACCCGGGACGUGUCCCGGCCUGCGUGUAUCCGAAGAAAAAGCAUCGGCUAACUCCGUGCCAGCAGCCGCGGUAAUACGGAGGAUGCGAUCGUUAUCCGGAGUUAUUGGGUUGAAAGGGUGAGUAGGCGGUCCGUUAAGUCAGCGGUAAAAUUGCGGGGCUCAACCCCGUCUCGCCGUUUAACUGGGCAGACUUGAGUUGGCGAGAAGUACGCGGAAUGCGCGGUGUAGCGGUGAAAUGCAUAGAUAUCGAGCAGAACUCCGAUUGCGAAGGCAGCGUACCGGCGCCAGACUGACGCUGAGGCACGAAAGCGUGGGGAUCGAACAGGAUUAGAUACCCGGGUAGUC